GAGACUUUGGCCAUCACCCCUUUCUCGUUUCUCCUUCUUCCUCCCUAUUCCUUUCUCUCUACUUGGUCUUAGCGUGCCCUAGAUGCACUGCCAAGAUGAUUAGGUUCCCUUUGGCCAUGAUGAAUCUUCAUUGGACCAAGCUAAGAAGGCCCCCAAUCCCCUCACUUAUCCUUCCCUCUUUUCUCCUCCUCUGUUCCACGAUGCGACCAAGCCAUCUCCUUAUUUUUGGUCUUUCUUCUCUCUAACCACUGCUCGCAUGGCUUCUCACCUUCACUGGCCUCAUCAUCAUUUGGGCG
rnacentral:lncRNA from 1 species